UGGUUUUCUAAAAACUCAAAA
rnacentral:piRNA from 1 species